rnacentral:rRNA from 1 species
GACGUAGGGUGCGAGCGUUUGUCCGGAUUUAUUGGGCGUAAAGAGCUCGUAGGCGGCUCGUCACGUCGACCGUGAAACCCGCGGCUUAACUGCGGGCUUGCGGUUGAUACGGGCGGGCUAGAGUUCGGUAGGGGAGACUGGAAUUCCUGGUGUAGCGGUGAAAUGCGCAGAUAUCAGGAGGAACACCGGUGGCGAAGGCGGCGCUCUGGGCCGGAACUGACGCUGAUGAGCGAAAGCGUGGGAGCAAACAGG